UGCCAGACUCCUACGGGAGGCAGCAGUGGGGAAUAUUGCACAAUGGGCGCAAGCCUGAUGCGGCCAUGCCGCGUGUAUGAAGAAGGCCUUCGGGUUGUAAAGUACUUUCAGUCGGGAGGAAGGUGGUAAGGUUAAUAACCUUAUCAAUUGACGUUACCGACAGAAGAAGCACCGGCUAACUCCGUGCCAGCAGCCGCGGUAAUACGGAGGGUGCAAGCGUUAAUCGGAAUUACUGGGCGUAAAGCGCACGCAGGCGGUUGAUUGAGUCAGAUGUGAAAUCCCCGGGCUUAACCCGGGAAUUGCAUCUGAUACUGGUCAGCUAGAGUCUUGUAGAGGGGGGUAGAAUUCCAUGUGUAGCGGUGAAAUGCGUAGAUAUGUGGAAGAACACCGAUGGCGAAGGCAGCCUCCUGGGACGCAACUGACGCUCAUACACGAAAGCGUGGGGAGCAAACAGGAUUAGAUACCCGUGUAAU
rnacentral:rRNA from 1 species